rnacentral:rRNA from 1 species
AUGAAUGAAGAAUUUGUGGCACUUCAGAAGAACAAAACAUGGCAUUUGGUUCCUCCACAGCAAGGUAAAAAUCUCAUUGACUGCAAGUGGGUGUUUAGGAUUAAAAGAAAAUCAGAUGGAACCAUUGAUCGAUACAAAGCUAGAUUGGUUGCAAAAGGAUUCAAACAACGAUAUGGCAUAGACUACGAGGACACGUUUAGUCCUGUUGUAAAAGCUGCCACUAUUCGCCUUGUUUUGUCUAUUGCUGUUUCCAGGGGCUGGAGUCUCAGGCAACUAGAUGUACAGAACGCGUUUCUCCAUGGUGCUCUGGAAGAGGAAGUGUACAUGAAGCAACCUCCUGGGUUUGUGAACAAAAACGUUCCUUCUUACAUAUGCAAACUUGACAAAUCAUUGUAUGGGUUGAAGCAAGCUCCAAGAGCAUGGUAUUCACGUCUCAGUCACAAGAUGCAACAACUUGGUUUUGUUCCUUCGAAGUCUGAGACCUCACUGUUCAUUUACAACAAGCAUAACACAUACAUAUUUGUACUCAUAUAUGUUGAUGAUAUCAUUGUUACAAGCUCAUCAGAUGAGGCUGUUACAGGGCUCUUGAAAGAUCUCAGUACAGAGUUUGCUCUCAAGGAUCUUGGAGACUUGCAUUAUUUCCUAGGGAUUGAGGUGAAGAAGCAUGAGGAUGGACUUCAUCUCUCUCAGGAAAAGUAUGCAGCAGAUAUGGUAAAAAAGGCAGGACUACAAGACUCUGACUGGGCAGGCUGUCUGGAUGAUAGAAGGUCCACUGGUGGCUUUGCAAUUUUCUUUGGCCCAAACUUAAUAUCCUGGUGUGCAAGAAAACAAGCACUGUUUCCAGGUCUAGCACAGAGGCAGAAUACAAGGCACUGGCAAAUGCCACAGCUGAGGUUAUAUGGGUACAAUCCAUGCUAA